rnacentral:pre_miRNA from 15 species
CCGCGCCGCCUUUGGCAAUGGUAGAACUCACACUGGUGAGGAAAUGGGAUCCGGUGGUUCUAGACUUGCCAACUACGGUGCCGGG